GACGAACGCUGGCGGCGUGCUUGACACAUGCAAGUCGAACGGAAAGGCCUGCUUUCCCUUGUGGAUUGCGGGUACUCGAGUGGCGAACGGGUGAGUAACACGUGAGUGAUCUGCCCCCAACUUGGGUAUAAGCCUGGGAAACUGGGUCUAAUUCCCGAUAGGACUGCAGGGUGGUGCCCGUGGUGGAAAACGAUUUUCUAGUGGUUGGGGAUGAGCUCGCGGCCUAUCAGCUUGUUGGUGGGGUAAUGGCCUACCAAGGCGGCGACGGGUAGCCGGCCUGAGAGGGUGGACGGCCACAUUGGGACUGAGAUACGGCCCAGACUCCUACGGGAGGCAGCAGUGGGGAAUAUUACACAAUGGGCGGAAGCCUGAUGCAGCGACGCCGCGUGGGGGAUGACGGCCUUCGGGUGGUAAACUCCUUUCGACCGCGAGGAAGCCACCUGGUUGGAAGGGUGGUGACGGUAGUGGUAGAAGAAGCACCGGCUAACUACGUG
rnacentral:rRNA from 1 species